rnacentral:tRNA from 1 species
CCCAUUUUGGCAGAAAUAUUAUUGCAAAAGACUUAGAAUCUUACUAACCUAGUAAAAAAACAAAAACACACCACACCACAA